CCCUGAGAGCAUCACCCCAAGCCACGUCCCUCCUCUGGAGAAGGCCCUGAGAGCUCAGCUCCUCACCAUGGACUGGACCUGGAGGAUCCUCUUCCUGGUGGCAGCAGCUACAGGUGCCCACUCCGAGGUCCAGCUGGUGCAGUCUGGGGCUGAGGUGAAGCCACCUGGAGCCUCUGUGAAGGUGUCCUGCAAGGCUUCUGGAUACACCUUCACCAACUAUGCUAUGCAUUGGGUGAGACAGGCCCCUGGACAAGGGCUGGAGUGGAUGGGAUGGAUCUACACAAACACAGGAGGAACAAGCUAUGCCCAGAAGUUCCAGGGCCGAGUCACCAUGACCAGGGACACGUCCACGAGCACAGCCUACAUGGAGCUGAGCAGUCUGAGACCCGAGGACACGGCUGUGUAUUACUGUGCGAGAGACACAGUGCUACAACCCACAUCCUGAGGGGGUCAGAAACCCUGAGGGAGAUGCAGCUGUGCUGGGCUGAGGCAGCGACAGGG